AUUCUAAUCCCAACAUGUCUUUGGUUGGAGGAUGAGAUUCGCUUUCCGAAGCUGGAGGCGGCUGGUUGGGGUGCAACAGGACUCGGUGAGAAUGUGUCAGAAAUUCUAUUAAAAGUAGAGUUUGCCCCAGUAGAUAAAGAAGAAUGCUCAAGAUACUAUCCAAAAGGAGAUAGAAAGCACCGUAACGGUCUUAUGGAUCAUCAACUAUGUGCUGGCGACAAAACAAUGGACACCUGUCCGGGAGACUCCGGAGGACCACUGCAAGUGAAACUUGUGAAGGCCUUUAGAUUAAUCCCUUUCCUGGUUGGUGUGACAUCGUUCGGCAAAGCCUGUGGUUUAUACUUGCCGGGUGUGUACACAAAGGUGUCCAAAUUUGGAGCCUGGAUUAUAGAGACACUCCAGCGAUAUGGCGAGUCAGUCACACUUUUUGAUUUCCAUCCUAUGGUUUGUGCUGCGCGU